rnacentral:rRNA from 1 species
AUGAAGAUGCAGUUUUGUUUGAUAGAAGGAUUUCUUCUAUCAACAGAAACCAGACGGCAAAGCUGUGUUGGAUGCGCGUUUUGGUUGUCUGAACCAAACUCAAAAGAUGCAGUUUUCUCUGCAAAACAACAUAAUGCCUGGAGGCUCCAUACAAGAGGCAAACCUGAUGAGAUUCAGUUUCAAGUAUUAGCUUUGGUCAGAGUGAAAUUCAGGUUCCUCUUGCUUGACCAAGUUCACAGGAUCAGGGGCAAUGCCCUUCUCAUCCAAAAAUUCUGCUCAGGAUUACAAACGACAAAAGAAAAGAAAAAAAAUCCUAGGCGCGGUGAGAUUGAACAUGACAACUGCCAUUUAUUUACCUACACAAUGUAUUAG